GCUCUGUAUCAAGUAGUUUUUAUUUCCUUCCCACCUCAUCCACACGCAUCUCCUCGUCCCCUCCUCUCCUCCCUCGCCGCCGCUCCGAUCUCCCUCUCUACCAGCCAGCUCCGCCGAUCGAUGACGCCCGCAGAUCCUAGUUCCUCUCUACUUCUUCUAUCUACUCCUACCGCAAUCUUUUGUAGCCACAGCGUGAAACACCCAGCCCAUCCAACCCUAGAUUGUUGAUCGAUGUCGUCGAUCUGGAAGUUCCGUUGACUGCUUGUCGAGGGCAUGCUAUCAGGAAGAACACCCCAGCCUGUGCGUGUGGUUGAGGCCAGGUGACCAAGUUGUUGGCUCAUCCGGGGACUGAUGCAGUCAUGACUGUGACCAACAGGUUCGCCGCGCUUCAGACGCCGGCCGCGUCCGGCAGUAUACUGGUAAUACUGGUAGGGAGGACGAGGAACCUGACAUGAGGACAUGUAUGAGUUCAAGGGCUGCAUCAGUCUCAACUUUAGGUUGGCAUACAAUGAAAUUCCCGAUCUAUUUGAUCACCCUACGGUCUGGAGUUGUGCUACUCCACAGUGCAGAGCUUCAUGGGCUGAUGGAUACGUAUAGCUAACUGCAACAUUGAAGAACGUGGGGCAACUACAUGACCCUCUGGCUUCACUGAUACACCCUGUGAUGGUCUAGAAAGCCAGUAAAGAUUGGCAAGAUAAGUGUGGAUGCUAUGGAUAUCAUACUUAUUGCAAGGUGUAACAUGUCUUUGUUUGUCAAUAUUCUUAGUGCACCAGUCAGACCACCAAUACGGUAAGUACUAUUCCUUCCCCCAAAUCAUACUGUAUGCUAUUUUUCUCUUCAUGAUGCAAACUACAGUUGAUCAAUGCACUGCUGUUUAUGUAAUGCUAUGGACCUUGAGGUACUCCUAUUUUUUUUUUUGAGGGAUUGAGGUACUCCUGUUAUGUCAUGCAGGACAUGCGUGAACUUCUACCAAAGCCCGUCAGAUUGCUGUCUACGUUUGUGAUAAUGCGAUUGACCAUUCAAUAGAUUAGCUAAUUUUUAUAUACUGUUUGAUGGGUUUGUUCAGAUAUUGUUGUUAUUCCUUUUGCCAGAUUUCUUUUUGCAUUUUUGUCUGUGAUAACGGACUUGUAGGUCUAAGAGAAAUUUCAACAUUCUUGAUUGCUGAAUUUGCUUUGGCGUGCCACCAAGGUCACAUAGAUCAGCAAGACUUGCUAUAUUCGGAUAUUAGCUCUCAACGUGUUAGGCAUAUUAUUACAGAGAAUACAUAUAGUAUUAGGCAGAUACUAUUUUUUUUUUUGACUUGAUGCAAUAUUGUAAAGGUUCUACUCUUGAGACAAGUAUUUCAUGUAUGGGAUGGUGC